rnacentral:lncRNA from 1 species
AAAAGGAUCCCCGCCAGUACAUGAAAAUAAGCCUGCCUGCUCUCUGCCUUUCACAUUUUUGUCCGUUGGAUUAUUGUUUGCGCAUCUUUGCAGUUGGGUUAGGGGAGAAAUGCAGGAAAACUAGUGAACUGAGUCAUCUCCUAGCAGGAUAGGAUUACACCAGGUGUUGACCAUUCUUUGAGAAUAUUGAUCAAGAACCCAUUGAUAAACGGGUUGGUCCCUUGUGAGGAUGGAACAAUGAAGAAAACAGAGAAAAGUGUCUGCCAGAUGGCUCAGCAGAUGACACUUCCUUGCUGGUGAGUGGAGUUCAAUCCCAGGGUCUCACAAGGUGGUGGAAAAAAAAAUCGACUUUUGCAUGUAGCCUUCUGUUUUUCGAAU